CUCUUAACUUUUCCCAUUCAUUCUCUAUGGUAGUUCUUAACACUACGGAUGUAAUGCACUGUUUGACCACCAGCGGGAUUUUGGGGGCGCUGUCUCCACGUCUUCGCUUUCUGCGAUUACAAUAAGGAAGAACUUUAAGCCUGUUUUGAUUGGCGGGCUGUAUCUAAGCGACUGUAGUAGCGUCGGGAAAAUCCCCAAGACACUUUAAUCGCCGAUCGACUUUCCUUCACAAUCGUAUCUGAAGUAUCCAUCCUUCUCCAAAUAACGAUGAAGAGAAAACUUGUGUUUCCCGGAAAGGUAGAGGUGAACUUCAGGAGAGGGCCUCAUGGCUAUCUGAGGCAAGAUCCCUCAGACGAAGCUAAAAAAAUCAAGAACAAUCCAAAUAUCCAAGAGAGGUUGCCUGCUCUCAGAGAAGACAAGGUUAAAGAGAACGCUCGCUCCAUUGUUUUCUUGAGAGGUGGCGAUGUCUCCGAUAGGCAGGAAUUGCUGGGGGAGUAUUUGGUCCAGUUUGGGAAGUAUAAGGGGAAUUCCUUCCGCUGGAUUCUUGAAAAUGACAUCGGAUAUGUUGUGUAUUUGAUCCACAAAGUUGAGGAAGAGGAGAGAGCUGGACAGUUUAAUCCAGAGGGUGUAAUAUGAAAUUGAUUUUUGAGUAAAAGAAAAAUAAAUGCAAUGAUUUAUAAAAAUGUAUCAUUCAUUCAAAUGAGAUGGUGACCCACCAUAUAAUUAAAUAAGCUAAAGAAUUACAAAUCAUUUAUCAUAUCACACCCACAUGUUAUUUGAUUACCUCCAUUGUCUUUAUAUGUAUUUUGUCAAGAAGACAUAUGUGGGUAAUGGUGGUAAAAAUAUAUUUUUCUGCUUCAGGAAACUUCAAAGCAACGGCAGCAGUCUCGAAACCAGACCAAGCUGGUGAUUGCAGCACCCCUGUCACUCCUACAUCAGCUUCUUCGAAGCGUCCUGUACCAGUACCUCCAGAGUUGCUUGCUCUCAAAAUUCCAUUAAGCAAGACCACACCACCCUUAAGACCAGAGCCUGUUUUGGGUCUCAGAACCCCUGCAGCAUCCUCAAGGUCCUCUGCAUCACCUGCAGCUUCUGGUCAGCCAGAGGUGGCACACUGCACUGCACCUGCUCCACCUUCAUCAUUCUCUGCAGCCCCAGUAGGAGAUCCUCCAGAUGCGUUUGGUGACCAGCCAGCUGCUCCAUCGCUCCCCAGCUACGACCAGGAUGUGAAGCGAUGGAACUGCUCUCACCAGCAAAGGAUUUGGAUGAAAACAGAGAUGGAAUCCCUGGGUCUGUGGCCUGGCUCUCGACCAGUGAGACAUCUGAUGAACAUGAUUUCUUUGUGGCGUUACCCUCCUCAGCCUGAGCUUAUUGAUACUGUAUUUUGUUUACAUUUGUAAAGAAAAUUCAAUUUCUUUGCAUCUUUGCCUUACA